AAAAAAAAAAAAAAAAAAUAGGAGUGACUGACAAGUGACUAGUUGACUAGUGACUAAUGAGUAGCGAGUAAUCCAUUCCGGCCAGCGCCAAAAUCCUGCGGUUUUAGUACAGCUGACAGCGGUAGUCGCAGAUGUAGCAGCGGUGGUGGUGGGCUUGAGAGAUGGCGGCCUUAAGUUUUGGUCACCUGGCACAGCAACACCUCCAUUCCUCUCUCCUCUCCGCCUCAACAUCAAUACACCGUGCUUCCAUCUUGGUUGCAGUCAUUUCCCGUUCACAGCCAGCAUGCGCCGCAACUCAUGCCUUAUCACCCUCUCUUACUCCAACAAAUCUAAAAGUCGACUCCAAAUUGAGAAGGAAAGAGAGUUUCUUGAACAAUAUGGUCUCAAUCCUGACGAGUUUUUACCCCAUUCAUCUCCACAGAGGAAGAGGAGAAAAGGGCAGGCAAAGACGGGAGAAAACGGAAGGCAGGAAAUCACAGAGGAACCCAAGCAUCCAAGGGAAACCCAUAAAUUGCUUCAGGUGCUUGCAGGAAAAGCUCGAAGGAAAAAAUUACUUUCACCGAAAGGCAUGGAUGUACGCCCAAUGAUGGAAGUGGUGAAGGCUGCUGCAUUUGCCAUUUUACAGGCGGCUGGUGGUAGCCCUGCAUCUCUACGGCCUGGUCGUUGGUUAGAUUUAUACAGUGGUACAGGAUCUGUUGGCAUUGAAGCUAUCAGUAGAGGAUGCUCAGGUUAUCAUUAGAGCCAGUAACACUUAAUUUAAUUAUUAAUUUGAAAGCUGACAAUUAACUCUAUAGCAUUACAUUAUUUUCUUCUCUUUUAGCUGGUAAUUAACAUCUGCAUGAAGAUGCAGCAUUAUGCUGGUACUUUAAGCAGUUAGAUUUUAACUUCAUAUACCAUCUUUCAGUUAGAUUGUUUUACAGUGUGUUCCGCAACCUAUUGCUAUUUCCUGUCCUCUUCACUCUUCCCUUUAUUCUCUUUUCUUAAUUUGCAAAUCCCAGGCCCAUUUUGUUGAGAUGGAUCCUUGGGUUGUCUCAGAUGUUCUACGACCAAAUUUACAGUGGACUGGUUUCCUUGAUGUAUCAACCAUACAUCCUGUCCGUGUGGAGGAUUUCUUGGAAAGGGCAGAACAAUUUGCUGAAGCCGUAGCAAUGAAGGUUCGUUUGAUGUACACCUAAAAGACAUGUUUGUAUAUGUAGUCAGGAGCUUUGAGUCUCUCAAUUACGGUAAACGUGCGCCAUUUGAUUAUGUAAGUGUUACACCCCCAUAUAUGGCAGUAGAUUAUGGGGUAUUGAUGAACCAAAUUUCAAGUUCAUCCGUAAUUGGAGAGGACACAUUUAUUGUAGUUGAAUACCCUUUGAAAACUGACAUGCUUGAUUCAUGUGGUUGCCUCACUAAGAUAGCUGAUCGGAGGUUUGGUCGGACACAUCUUGCUAUAUAUGGACCAAAUUGGGCGCAAAAGAGGAGAAAGUCAGACAGCUUACUUAUGGGUUUAUCAUAAAGAUGGAAGUAGGUUUUGUGGCUGGAUUAUUAUUAUUUUGUGCUAAAGACCACGUAGUCUGAUAUUUCUUAGCAGUGACAUGUCGCGUUAGCUGUAAAUUAACCUGACCAUUUGAUUUGUUCCAUCUCAACUCUCCUUUCAGAUGUAGAUAAAACAAGAGAUGUUAAUGAAAUGCUACUAGUAAACUAAACUUGGUAAUCUUUGUAGUUCAGCCUUCUUCUAUAAUCAAAAUCUCUAACGUCAAUUCAGACAA